rnacentral:sRNA from 4 species
AUGCAGUACGUCUGCACUGUGGUUUUUGUGUGCCAUCCACGCUCACCUGGCGGCUGCUCGCGACUGUCGGUCAGUCGCGCUAGCC